GAAUAAUUAGUGUUGUUCAACUUUAAGUAAAUAAGUGAUAGUAACUAAAGCAGUCAUAGUCUUUUUGGUAAGGUCAGACACAUUGAACCCAUUGAGAGAGAUGGUAGUAGCAUCAAUCAUAAUAAUGCACCUCUUGAAUCAUUGAAUAAAAGUCUAUACACUUACAUCACCACAUAGUAAAUUAUCAGAAGAUAUUCAAUCAUGUCGAGCUACGAACAAAGGAACCAUCAGCAAUCAAGUCACUACUCUAAAUAUUAUACUUCAAAAAAAAAUGAUCAUAGCCACACAUUGCUUGGCUAUACUACCCGAUGUGCUACCUAGAGUAGACCAAUUGUGCUAGCCCA
rnacentral:lncRNA from 1 species